rnacentral:rRNA from 1 species
GCGGCGUGCCUAAUACAUGCAAGUAGAACGCUGAAGAGAGGAGCUUGCUCUUCUUGGAUGAGUUGCGAACGGGUGAGUAACGCGUAGGUAACCUGCCUGGUAGCGGGGGAUAACUAUUGGAAACGAUAGCUAAUACCGCAUAAAAUGGAUUAUCGCAUGAUAAUYCAUUGAAAGGUGCAAAUGCAUCACUACCAGAUGGACCUGCGUUGUAUUAGCUAGUUGGUGGGGUAACGGCUCACCAAGGCGACGAUACAUAGCCGACCUGAGAGGGUGAUCGGCCACACUGGGACUGAGACACGGCCCAGACUCCUACGGGAGGCAGCAGUAGGGAAUCUUCGGCAAUGGACGGAAGUCUGACCGAGCAACGCCGCGUGAGUGAAGAAGGUUUUCGGAUCGUAAAGCUCUGUUGUAAGAGAAGAACGAGUGUGAGAGUGGAAAGUUCACACUGUGACGGUAUCUUACCAGAAAGGGACGGCUAACUACGUGCCAGCAGCCGCGGUAAUACGUAGGUCCCGAGCGUUGUCCGGAUUUAUUGGGCGUAAAGCGAGCGCAGGCGGUUAGAUAAGUCUGAAGUUAAAGGCUGUGGCUUAACCAUAGUACGCUUUGGAAACUGUUUAACUUGAGUGCAAGAGGGGAGAGUGGAAUUCCAUGUGUAGCGGUGAAAUGCGUAGAUAUAUGGAGGAACACCGGUGGCGAAAGCGGCUCUCUGGCUUGUAACUGACGCUGAGGCUCGAAAGCGUGGGGAGCAAACAG